GCCAGGUGCGGUGGCGCAUGCCUGUAAUCCCAGCGGCUUGGGAGGCUGAGAGACAGGAGGAUUGCGAAUUCAAAGCCAGCCUCAGCAAAGGCACGGUAGGGAGGUGCUAAGCAAUUUAGUGAGACCCUGUCUCUA
rnacentral:sRNA from 1 species